rnacentral:misc_RNA from 1 species
GCUGGAUCCCCUCCUUUCUAAGGAUGAUCCCCUCAGAUCGCCGGACAUUGCGUCCGACCGGUCUCUCGGGAUCUCUUGGAACAGCGGUCUUGAACCGCAAAUCAAUAGCGGGGCGUACGCCGUCCUCGUUUCUCUUUCUCUCACCGUCGCCGCCGGCGCUCGCUGGCGCGACGAAUGUCUUGGCGACAAGCUGGCGAGCGCCUACGAGCUUGGCCGACGUGCGUCACAGCGCAUUGGGGCCGGUAGCUCAGGUGGUUAGAGCGCACGCCUGAUAAGCGUGAGGUCGAUGGUUCAAGUCCAUCUCGGCCCACCACUCUUUUCGGGUGGCGCGUCUUUGAGAUCGGGGCCUUAGCUCAGCUGGGAGAGCAUCUGCUUUGCAAGCAGAGGGUCAUCGGUUCGAUCCCGAUAGGCUCCACCAAACGCGCUCGGCGAUGCGCGUCAGGACAUUCAAUGAGAGAAGCGCUCGAGCCCUCCGGCUCGCGCAUCCACAGUUUCUGAAAUCGUGAAGAAGGGUCGUUUGUUCGGUUUGCUUUGCAGGCUGACGAGCGAUGCGAGAGUCAAAUUGUCUGACUAUUCAUGAGCGUCUGGUCCGCUUUGCACGGGCGGAUCGAUCGACGCGCAUGAGAUUUGCUGACGAUCAAGUGUCUAAGGGCGUUCAGGGGAUGCCUUGGCAGACGCAGGCGAUGAAGGACGUGCCAUGCUGCGAAAAGCUGCGGGGAGCUGCAAGGAAGCUUUGAUCCGUAGAUGUCCGAAUGGGGGAAACCCGGAAGC